GUAAUACUGUAUAAUCCCUGAGGGGGAAAGAUUUAUCGCUAUUAGAUGAGCCUACGUUAGAUUAGCUAGUUGGUAAGGUAAUGGCUUACCAAGGCUAUGAUCUAUAGCUGGUCUGAGAGGACGAUCAGCCACACUGGAACUGAGAUACGGUCCAGACUCCUACGGGAGGCAGCAGUGGGGAAUAUUGGACAAUGGGCGAAAGCCUGAUCCAGCUAUGCCGCGUGAGUGAAGAAGGCCUUCGGGUUGUAAAACUCUUUCAAUAGGGAAGAUAAUGACGGUAC
rnacentral:rRNA from 2 species